UCUGCUCUCCUUGAGCACCCACUUCCUGCGGGGUGCAGGCGGAGGAGGGCGCGGGGUCCGAGUGGGGGAGUCGACCAUCAGCCCCCACUCGUUGCAGGGUGGGUAGGCGGCGAUGAUGCCGUGCAGCUUCGGGACGCCAGCAUGGAGGGAGAAAACCCACGACAGCAGCUCCGUCACAGGGGCGUCCUCGCCAGUGAUCCCCUUCACCUACGCCUGGAUGGGCCCCGGAUCCACGCUCCCUUGGUGAAGGCGUGUCCUGUCCCCGGACCCCGUGUACAUCCACGCGGGGCGGGAGCGAAGCUGCAGCGGCACGAUGUGCCGGCUGAUGUAGGCACGCGCCACGUCGAGAUCAGUGAGCCCUGCUAGCCUUAGGGCCUUGAUCUUCGCGACGAUGGGGAGGAGCUCGGCGUCGCGGUGGUAGCGGUUCCGCCAGCUCGAUGGGCCUGAAGAUGAACUCUUCGGGUUCCUCCACACGGACCCAGCACCAGUCCACCCGACAUUCCUUCUCUAUCUUCUUCUCCGACCGGACGAUGAAUUCUGAUUUCAUCCGGUCGCGAGCGUGGAACACCACCCCCGAUGACAUCGCCCCCGCUUGCUCAAUGCGGGGGUAGAAGUAGUGCCAGAAUAACGCCACUGACGGCACUACUCCGACGAACGCCUCACAGAGGAACUUGAAGACGGCGAGGAGAAAGAGGGAAGUGGGGUGGAGCUGCACCACCCGAAGCUGGUACGCCUCCAUGAGCACGUGGAGGAACAGGGAGUACGAGGCUACCAGCCAGGCAAGGAUGAAGUGCGCGAACACCCGGAAGUCGUUUUCCUGGUGGUCGGCGUCGGCGGGGAAAAUGAGGGUUUCCCCGUACUCGUUGAAGCGCGAAGCGACGGCGUGCCGGACCUUAUCCAGCGCCUCGCCGUUGUAGCCAGGCCGGAAGAAGGCGCACGAGGCCCUCAGCUCCCUCCUCUUCUGAUCCUUGUCCGAGGUGGGCUUCUGGGCAGCCGCCUCGCUCUUGCCAGCUGCAGGCCUCUUGGAGCCUUUUCCUUUCGUGGGAGCGGGGGGUGCCAUGAGGAGUGUGGGCUAAAGCUGGCCGGAGGCAGGGAUGCGAGGAAGAUUGGAGACGGAGGGGAAAAGCUUGUCCCCUAGAGCAGCGGCGGAGUCUUAUAGCGGACCGGUGCCGGGCAACGGUCGUAUCCGCACCCUAUGGGUGCGCUGGGUUAACUACGCCCCAAGAGGGGAUAAUGCAGGACAUGGCCUUAACCACCCGCGUUUAAUGGGGAGGUUAGGGCGGAAAUCUCGCGCCCAUUACUCUGCGCAUAAUAGCAGGGCCCUGAAGCAGCUCGGGGCCCAAGCGUCGGUUAAGGGCGUAGCCCGGCAACCGACCUGGGAAGAUCCUACCCGGGAACAGGCAUUGCCGGCCCACGCCCGGGGGCUACUGUCGCACCAGUGGCACCCGGGGCGCCACCGCUACGCGACGCGUGGGCCACCUCGCUUGGUCCCCGGAAGGAUCGCGCCCCGGGCAGCUCCACGCGAGAAGCCCGGCAAGUCGCCAGCCCGGCAGGGCUAGCCGGGUUGCGGGGGCUUGCCGUGCGGGGCAGUAGGAGGAAUCCCGCCUGGGCACUUCCCGGGAGGGUGUUCCUGGGCGCAAGCAACCGUUACAAAGGCAGGAGCGAGCGGGAGCCACAGCGGCACCACGUGGCGCCUCAACGGGCACACCGCGCGCAGGUUUUGUCAGGACGAGGAGUGAAGCACACGCAAGCAUUUAAUACUCCGACCAAAAGGGGAUUCCCUAUCUUUUCACCCAACAGUGCCCCGCCAGGGGUAAAUUUCAGGCGCCUAGACCCCUAGCUGCAGGGCUACCUAGUUUGCAUGCAAGCCAACGCACCGAGGGGGAGCUUCCCUAGCUCCCCACUCGCCAUUUGUCACCCAUGCACCGGGGCACCUGUGGCAUCCCGUUCAGUAUAAAAGGAGGCAACGGUCAAAGGGUUGGACCAGUUCUCAGUUCACUACUAGCAAUAGCCCGGGAACUCCCCCCGGCAACCUGUAAACCCCAGUUCUUUGGCUAAUAACAGAACUCAGAAGCAGGACGUAGGGUUUUACACCUCAGGGUGGCCCGAACCUGGGUAAAAAGUGUUCUCGUGUUCAUCGUGCUCGCACGCUUCGCAUUGGCCCCGCCGGUGAUCGCCGGGGCAAUCCCCGCAGCUCACUGCCGAACCUAAAAGCCCCGUGCUACGACAAUCCAUAUCUUGUAGAGAAUGCCAUCUUGGGUAUGUCUUGGGUUCGAAUCUUCAACUGAUGAUAGCCUGAUCGCAGAUCUAUCUUGGAAAACACACUAGCUCCUUCCAACUGAUCAAACAAGUCAUUGAUCAUGGGUAAAGGGUAUUUGUUUUUUAUGGUGACCUCAUUAAGAGAACGAUAGUCAACACACAUCCUCAUACUCUUGUCCUUCUUCUGUACAAACAGUACCGGUGCUCCCCAAGGUGAUGAGCUCGGUCUGAUGUACCCCUUUGCUUGCAAUUCUUGCAACUGUUUCUUAAGUUUUGCUAAUUCAUUUGCAGGCAUCCUAUAGGGUCUUUUGGAUAUUGGGGCAGUUCCUAGAACUAGAUCAAUUAAAAACUCAAUAUCCCUACAGGUGGCAUUCCUGGUAAAUCCUCUGGAAACACAUCCGUGUAUUCAUUAACGAUGGGAACUUCCUCGAGACUACUCCCCUUAAGUGCAUUAACCAUGGCUCUUCUUCGCUUGAUUUUGGAUGUAAAUCUGAUUCUCUUUCCUUCCGGGCUGGUCACAGUAGCUGCUAGGUUAGCACAAUCUAUGUGUCCUUUGUGUCUAGAUAGCCAGUCCAUUCCUAGGAUUACAUCUAAACCUUGGGACUCUAGUACGAUAAGGUCUGAGGGAAAAGUCUCACUGCCAAGCCUUAUCAACACUCCAUGACAAAAUUCUAAGUGCUUUAGUCCCCAUGCUUUUGCACCCAUGCUUUUGAAAUGAAAGAAUGCGAUGCUCCAGUAUCAAAUAAUAUAACUGCUAGGUUGGAGUUGAUAAGGAAUGUACCAACUACGACGUCCGGUGCUUCGUAAGCCUCUUCUGCAGAAACAUGGUUCAGCUUGGCCUUCACAAAGGGGUUAGGCCUCUUGUCUCCCUGGUUCUUGGUUCUUUGCUGCUUUUCUGGACACUGUGUUGAGUAGUGUCCCAAUUUUUGGCAAUGAUAGCAUUCCACUUGACUCAAGUCCUUCUUCUCUGAGGCUGAUCCACUGCGGUGCUGACAGUGUCCAUGCUGUUGCUGCUGACAUUACCUCCAUGGUUGCUCCCACGAUGCUGACUCCCAUGAUGGUGGUGCCGGCGAUGAUCCUUGUGCUGGUGGUGGCGUUUCUCCUCAUGGGAUCGUCCUGAUGAAGAACCAAAGUGACGGUGCCUUGGAGGUGAAUGGGUACGGUGCUUGCUGUGAAAUCCCAUACGAAACUUGUUACUUGCCUUCCUCUUGCGGUUCUCCACUUGCUUCUGCUUGCCUUCUAAGUGGAUUGCCUUGUCAACCAAAUUCUGAAAACUGUGGAAAUCAGAUGAAACUAACUGCACACUGAGCUCGUCAUUCAGACCAUCCAAGAAGAGCUCCUGUUUAUCUUCAUCAUCGGCUACGUCAUCAGGGGCAUAGCGAGCUAACUGAGUGAACCUCUCCAAGUCUUGGAUCCUUGACGCAAUGCACGGAACUGCUUCCUCAUCAAUCCCAUACUCCCUGCUGGGACGUGAGCUUUGCGGAAACCUUCAACAAAAUCAUCCCAAGUGAUCUCAUCUCCUCCAAAUCCGAACUUGAAGGUUUCCCACCAAGCUGCUGCGGCUCCUUCAAGCUGAUGGCUUGCAUAUAGAACUCUCUCCUGAUCAGUGCACUGGAUGGUGAGUAGCUUCUUUUGGAUGGUGCGAAGCCAAUCAUCUGCUUCAAUGGGUUCAGCUGAGCUAGAGAAAGUAGGUGGGUGCAGCCUCAAAAACCUAGUCAAACGGUCGGAGGGUGGUGGUGGAGGUGGCGGGUUGUUGCGGUUGUUCUGGUUCAGGUUCUGAGUGAGCAGGUUCACUAGCUGAGUCUGAGCUGGCAAAAAUUCAGCAAGUCCGGGUACUCCAUUGUUGUUGUUGCCAACGUUGGUGUUGGGGUUGGGGUUGGUGUUGCUAGUGUUGUUGUUGCCGGUCUUGCUCCUAGUGUUGCGGGUUGACAUCUUGCUGGAAAAGAUAAGAGUCGGGAAAGAAGGGUCUAUAAGAACAUAACUACCCAUAGAUGCUUAUAGCAUGAAGAAGUCAAAUAAAUUGACUAAAAUAAACUCGACUUUAUUAAGCUCAAUCAAACUCGAAUGAAUAGUUUCACAAAAAAUCCUAAGUCUGUGAAGCGAUCCUCCCCCUUAAAGGGUUCGAUCUCUGUGCUUAACGUGCUAGUCUCUGGAUUGACUCAUUAGCACACACAGUUCCAAGAUGUAAUAUCAAGAUACAAAGGCAAAAUACUUUAUUACAUCGUAUCAUCCAGAAUUUAAUUGUACUUACAGACUUGCAUGACCCCUUGGGCCAGCAUAAACAAAUAUUGUUUCAAAACCAUAAAACAUUGUAUCAUAAAACUGCAGUGGAAAGGUAGAGCAAAUGGGCCUCAACUACUCCCAGAGGAGAGAGCAUGCUGGAAUGUAAGCACAUGACCCAAGGUACACCGACGAACCUCACUCUUCGUCAGAUUCACCUGCAUUAUUAAUUGCAGCCACUACGUGGUCAAUACACAUUUGAAUGUAUUGGCAAGUUCACCUGGAAGUUAUACCAGACCUAACAAUGUACAUGCACUAUAUGGCAAGGUGGGGUUUGGCUAUUUGCAUAAAAACAUCAAUGUUUCAUCCUAUCAUUUUUAAACAAAUAGUUUUGAAUUCUAUUGGACACGGGUAGAAACACCCAUGCUCCUAUUAACCUAGGCACAUUGAGUAGAUACAUCACUGCUCCUACCCAGUUCAAUCCAUUCAUUUUAUUAAGAAAUUGGAAUGAGUGAGACCUUCCUUACAGCCCCAAUAUCUAGUUGCUCAUAAUUGUCCGUAACCGGGGACACGGCUAAGUACUUAGUUUGACACUCUCGAGAGGUUGUACACAUUCCCCACAAGAAAUCGACGUGUUAAUCCCUUGCUAUCCUGUGGGUAGAGUAGCAACGGCAUCGACUACAGGAAUUUUCAGAACAUAAUCCCCCAGACCACUUGAGGGACGCGCCCCCACCUACACUACUACAUACCGAUGUCACCUCGGAUCCAGGUUCAUAUUUCUUACGUCCAUCCUGGCAGAGCCAUAGUACCAUGUGGUUGUAUUGGAAGCUACUAAACAGGAAACUAGUCCAGUCUCUGGUUACCCCGGGUGGCAUUCCUCAGUUGCAACGCAGGCGCUCCCAUAGAAAUGGCGAGACGACUUAUAGAAAUGGACCCAUAGAAAUGGACUUGACGUUGCAUACAUCUCCAAUUCCUCAAAGCAGCCCACCCAGGACGGUUCAUUGAAUUACUUGUUUUGCCAUACACUAGGAAAACUAUUGUAAUUCAAUAAUAUCAUAUUGUAAUAAUACCACUCUCGUAUAUUAUCAUAGCAUAGCAUUUUACUACCAUGAUGGCAAUUGGAGGUGAGGACAUGGCAAGGGUAUCCUAUACUACGAGGAGAAGUUAUAGCUAGCAUAAAUACAAUAAUAAUCCUAACAAUGCAACGAAUAAAAUCUAGUGCAUAAUAAAAUAAUGGGAUGAUGAUCAAAGUGAACUUGCCUUGAUAGUAGUUGGUAUACAAACACUCUUCACAAUCCCACAGUUCGCUCUCCGAGAAAACUAAUCAAACACAAACAAUGCAUACAUAAACACACAAUAUAAACAAAAUAAGAUGUAUGCCAUGAUCCAAUGCAAAACAUGUGACAUGUUUGGGUUGAUUUUUUUUGGGUCAUCAACUGGUCCUAAGCAUCGGUAAUUAAAACACAUCCAUAGGGUUUUAAACAAAAAGUCAAAAACAAAAGAUUAAAACCCUAAAUUAUGGUUUUAUUGGCAUCAGCCAAUUAAUUUAAUUCAAAAUAUUUAUUUCUCUGUCCCAAUGCACAGAGGAUAAUAAAAAAAAAAAUUGGGUACUGAAUUCAAUUAAAAAGGAUUUCUAACUAAUUAGUUAUGAAUUAAAUGGUAAUAAACCCUAUUCUGUAAAUUGACUGUGAUUCAAAUAUUCAAAUUUAAAUUUAAACAGUGCCAAAAGAUUCUACAGGUUGAUAGCUUUCCCAAAAGGUAAAGUUUGUCAAAUUUGGCCAAAGGGUUUAAAAGUUACAAGCAUUUGAAGUUACAAGGGCUUUUCUGCAAAAAUGCCAUUUAUUCAAACCGGGGGCUUAAAAUUACAUUUUUAUUUGUCUAUUAAAGUACCACGUGGCGUGAUCUCAUUGGUGCGUACCGGUUCGACGAAAAUUAAACACGGGAUCUAAUCCUAGCCCUUGGAUCUGGAUCGGACAGACGGGAGCGGCUCGGGUUUACCCGGCGGCGGCGGCGCUUGUCGGAGACGGAGAAGACGGCGGCGCGGCACGGGAGGCGGCGGCACGGGGUGUUCCGGCGACACGGGCAGCUCAGGGAGGUGCGCGGGGGUUGCCGCAUGUCGAGGCGGACUCGGGGACGGGAUCGGCCCAGCUUGGGGACGUAGGACGCCACGCCUAGGAUGGGUCGAAUGCGACGGGGAGCGGCGGACGGCAGCGGAGCUCCGGGCGGCGAUGGUGACGGGCUGCGGUCCACGAAAACGAAGACAGCGCGCGUCAAAAGAAGCGUACGGAGAAGGAGGAAAAGGCAAAGCAAAGCGGGGCAGUUCUAACCUUGCGGUUCGUCGGAGAGGAGCGAAGAACGGCGGCGGGCGGCGAGCUACUCCGGCGUGCAAUUGGGCAGCACGGCCGUGUGGAUUCGAGCGAGCGAGAGGGGGAAAAGAACGGGGAGUCCACGGGCUUUAUAGGGACACGGGCUGCUCGCUUCGGGAAGGCCGGAAUCACCGGAGACGGCGAUGGCGGCGACAAGUCCGGCGUGGACUCGGCGGAGCUUCCCUUCGGGACGAAGCCUGACAGGUGGGCCCCACCUAUCAGCGGCGGCGGGCGUGCGCGCGUGCGGCUGGGCUGGUCUGGCUCGGUCGGUUCGGCCCAAAAUGGCCGGGCCAGUCCGGUUUUUCCCUUUUUUUUUCUUUUAGCCUUUUCUUUUUCCCUUUUUCUUAUUUCUUUGAUAUCUUUCGAUUUUGAACUCCAAAUUGAUCCAAAUAAAUUCCAGAAAAUUUGUAAAAUCAUGUUUUAUCAUGAUUCAACUUUCGGAAGUAAUUUCCCUUCAAAACAAAAUUUAUAAAAAUACAUUUUCCCUAUAAAUGCGUUUAGGGCUAUAUAACUAUUUAAAUAAAAUAGUUUUUCAAUUCCAAAUAAUUAUUCAAAAAUUAUGGGAUAGCUUAUUUAUGCAAUAAACCCCUUUUAUAAAUAAACCCUAUUGGUUUGAAGAUCUAAAGCUCAAAUGGGUGAAAACCCUAGGGUUUAAAUUGAAAUAAAGUCUUUUAAAAGCCUUUUGAGAUUCAAAUUUGAAUUCAAAUAUGCAAAUUUGGCAUGAUUCUCAUGGAUGCAAUGCACAUGUAAGAAUUUGAAAUUUUGGAUGUUACAGUCUGCCAACCACAAAGUUUGAUUGGUCAGUACUAUUUAAACCAAGGACUAAGGAAGAACUAAACGAAAAGGGUUCUAAUAAGAUAGCGUCUACUCGUCACGGUCGGUCUCAAUGUCGGACUCGAAGAUAACCUCCUCGGGGUCCUCCUCCUCCUCCGUCGGCUCGUCAUCGUCUUCGGAGUCGGCCAUCUCGUAGUCGAACUCCUCAACCCUGAUCUACAUCUCCUCCUUGUAGUCCUCGUCAUUGCUGAGGAAUGCCUCGUCCUCAGCCUGAACGUCCUCCCCGUCGUCACGGGCCUCCUCAAGUGCAUCCUCCAGCUCGACAAUUGUGGUCUGAAGUAGGUCCACACGGUUCUUCAGUUCCUGUAUCUUGGUCUUCUUGCGCUGAGCCUUCUGCACCACCUCGUCUAACUCCUCCUGCAGGAUGUAGGCUGUCUCCUGCAACUGUCACAGCUCUUCCUUCGCGUCGUUGUUCAGGGCCUCCAGUGCCUGCACCUUCUACUACGACUCCACGUCCUUGGCCUUUAGCAGAUCGUUCUCCCGCUUGAGAGCAGCGAUCUGAAUAUCAGCCAGGGCUAACUCCCGGUUCAUCUCAUCCCGGGCAUGAAGGUGCGCAUCCGAGAUGUUCGAUCUCUGUGCUUAUUUGUGCUAGUCCCUGGAUUGACUCACUAGCACACACAGUUUCAAGAUGUAAUACCAAGAUACAAAGGUCAAAAUGUACUUUAUUACAUCGUAUCAUCCAGAUCUUAAUUGUACUUACAAAUUUGCAUGACCCCUUCGGUCAGCAUAACAAAUAGAGUUCCAAGAUAACAAAAUAUUGUUUCUCAAACGGCAGCGGAAAAAGGUCGAGCAAAUGGGCCACAUCUACUCCCAAAGGAGAGAGCAUGUUGGAAUGUAAGCACAUGACCCAAAGAACAUCGACGAACCUCACUCUUCGUCAGAUUCACCUGCAUUAUUGAUUGCAGCCACUACGUGGUCAAUACAUUGAAUGUAUUGGCAAGUUCACCUGGAAAUUAUAACAGAUCCUACCAAGUAUAUGCAAUUGAGGUAUAGUGGGGUUCAGGCUUUAUGGCAUGGUAGCAAAAACAUAGUUUAUCCUACUACAAUUGAAUGUUACAUUAUUGUUAACUAACGGACACGGGGUAGAAACACCCAUGCUUUUAUUAACCUAGAGCACAUUGAGUAGAUACAUCAAGUGCCCCUACCCUGUUCAAACCAUUCAUUUUAUUUAAGAAAUUUGAAUGAGUGAGACCUUCUUUACAGCCCCAAUAUCUAGUUGCUCAUAAUUGCCCGUAACCGGGGACACGGCUAAGUACUUAGUUUGACACUCUCGAGAGGUUGUACACAUUCCCCACAAGAAAUCGACGUGUCAAUCCCUUGCUAUCCUCCGGGUGGAGUAGCAACGGCAUCGACUUCAAGAAUUUUCAGAACAUAUUCCCCCAGACCACCUGAGGGACCUGCGCUCCCACCUACACAACUACCUCAGUACAAUCCCUCGGAUCUGGGUUCAUAUUUCUUACUCCAUCCAGCCAGAGCCCAUUUAGCUUGUGGUUGUACUUUAAGCUACUAAACAGGAAACUAGUCCAAUCUCUGAUACCCCAGGUGGCAUUCCACAUUUGCAACGCAAGCGGUCCCCGAAUCCGCGGAAGUGACGUCCAUGGACGAUCCAUCUCCGAAUCCACAGAGACUCGACUCAGAGGAACCCAUAGAAAUGGAUCUGACGUCGCAUAACAUCUCAAAAUCUCAAAGCAGUCCACCCAAGAUGGUUCAUUAGGGUUGUUUUUGCCAAGUUUCCAAAAUCACUCCACAUCAUCAUUUCACAGUGAUUGAGAUUCCCUCCCAUGUUUACUAACAUAACAUGGCUAAGAAAUACUAAUCACGAUGGCUAGUGGUGGAUGAUUCAUGGCAAAGGUAACCCUAUAGCUAGUAGGUCAAUCAUAGCUAGCAUAAGUACGAGUAAUAGUCUUAUCAAUGCAUUUCUACAAAUAACUCUAAUGCAUAAAUAUUUUAAAAACAAUAAUAAUAGGAUAUGAUCAAAGUGAACUUGCCUUGGUAACAGUUGGAGUUCAAACACUCGUUACAAUCAUAAGGUUCGCUCUCCGAGAAAACUGUACGAUCAAACAAACAUACACAUACAUAAACACCCAAUUCACAUCAUGACAAAAAUGUAUGCUAUGAUGCAAUGCAACAUGUGACAUGAUUGGGUUUAUUUUAUUUGGGUGAUCAGCUGAUCCUAAGCAUAAGUAAUUAAAACAAAUGCAUUAGGUUUAAAAACAAAAAGCAAAAGCUAGGGUUUAAACCCUAAAAUAAGGUUUUAUUUGCAUCUGCAAAAAAAUUUAAUUCAAAAUAUUUAUUUCUCUGUCCCAAUGGACAGAGGACAAUUAAACAAAUUUUUGGGCACUGGUUUCAAUUAAAAAGGACUUCUAAAUAAUUAGUUAUGAAUUAAAUAGCAUUAAAAGCCUUUCUGUAAUUUGACUAUGGUUCAAAUAUUCAAAUUUAAAUUUAAAAAGUGCCAAAAGAUUCUACAGGUUGAGAGCUUUCAAAAAAGGUAAAGUUUGCCAAAUUUGGCCAAGGGGUUUAAAAGUUAUAAGCAUUUGAAGUUACAGGGGCUUUUCUGCAAAAGUGCCAUUUAAUCAAUUCCGAGAUUAAAAUUUUAUUCUCGUUUUUAUUUAAGCAAUGCCACGUGGCGCGUUCUCAUUAGACGGUACCGGUUCGAUUAAAAUUAAAACAGGGAUCUAAUCUCGGCCGUUAAUCUUAGAUCGGACGGCUCGGGAGCAUCGGGCUCACCUCCGGGAACCUAGGGUUCCGGCGAGGAACUUCGGCAGCGGCGGGGAGCGGCGGCGAGCGCCGUCUCCGGCGGUCGCCGGUCGUCGGGGAGGAGACGGGCGUGAGCGGCGCGACGAGACUAGCUCGGUGACGCGGUCCGUUCGGCGAGGCGAGGAUGAGUGCGACGCCUAGGACGGUGUGAACGCGACGGCAAGCAGCGGAGCUUUGGCGAGUGGUGGCGCGGCUUCUCCGCUGACCUAAAGGGAAAACCGUGCAGGUCAUGAGGUGUGCGAGGACGAGGGAAGGCGAACGGGCUAGAAAAGGGCGGAGCUUGACCUUAGGGUUCACCGGCGGCGACCAAAAUGUGCGGCGGCGGGCGAAGAGCUUCGGUGAGAGAUUCCGAUGGCGUGGGCGCGUGCGAGCGGGGGUGAGCAGAGGGGAAAGAAAGAGGAGGGGCGGGGCUUUAUAGGGGCGCGCUCGGGUUGCUUCAGGAAGGCCGAAAUCGGCGAGGAGCAGCGAUUUUUGGAUAAUUUUUGGAUAAUUAUUUGGAGUUGAAAAACGAUUUUAUUUAAAUAGUUAUAUAGCCCUAAAGGCAUUUAUAGGGCAAAUGUAUUUUUAUUUACUUUAUUCUGAGGGGAAAUUACUCCCAAAAGUUGAAUCAUGGUAAAGCAUGAUUUUACAAAUUUUCUGGAAUUUAUUUGGACCAAUUUGGAGUUCAAAAUCAAAAGAUAUCAAAGAAAUACGAAAAACAGAAAAAGAAAAGGCUAAAUGAAAAAAAAAGGGGAGAAAACCGGACCGGACACGCCCGGACCGGACCAAGCCGGCCUCGUGCCGCGCGCGCGCCUGCUGCCGCUGACGCGUGGGACCCGCGCGUCAGGGUUUUCAUCCCCGAUGGAAAGCGCCCGCGUCCGCCGCCGCGCGCCGUCUCCGCCGAGAUCUCCGCGCUCCGUCCAUAUUUCGCAGCCCCGCCCGCGUCCUUUAAAAGCCCGUGCCUCCCUCUCUUCUUCCCCUCUUCUCGCCGCCUCGAUUACGUGCCCCCGCCGACGAGUUUGCUCGCCGAAACCCUAGCGCCCGUCGCCGUCUCUCGCCCCGCGCUGACUCGCCAGUGAGCUUCUUCGCCCAAACAUUGAAAUUUCUGGACCGCAUCGCCCUCGCGCAUGUUUUGACGCGCACGGAUUUGUCCUAGGUGCCCCCUAGCCGCCGGAAACGCGCCGCUCGUCGCUCGCCGGAGUUCCGCCCAUGCCGCCGCGCUCGUCUCCGUCCUAGGCGAGGCCCCGCCCGCGUCCGCCGCCGCAUUCCUUCUUCGCCGCCGCGCGCCGUCUCCGCCGAGAUCUCCGCGCUCCGUCCAUAUUUCGCAGCCCCGCCCGCGUCCUUUAAAAGCCCGUGCCUCCCUCUCUUCUUCCCCUCUUCUCGCCGCCUCGAUUACGUGCCCCCGCCGACGAGUUUGCUCGCCGAAACCCUAGCGCCCGUCGCCGUCUCUCGCCCCGCGCUGACUCGCCAGUGAGCUUCUUCGCCCAAACAUUGAAAUUUCUGGACCGCAUCGCCCUCGCGCAUGUUUUGACGCGCACGGAUUUGUCCUAGGUGCGCCCUAGCCGCCGGAAACGCGCCGCUCGUCGCUCGCCGGAGUUCCGCCCAUGCCGCCGCGCUCGUCUCCGUCCUAGGCGAGGCGUCCGCCGUCCCCGAGUGCCGGCGACCGCGUCCGCGCCUUCGCCGUGCCGCGCCGCGUCGCCGCUGACCGUCCCCGAGCCGCCCGCCUCGCCGGAGUACCCGCGCCUCCCCCGCCCGGGCCGUGUCGCGGUCUUCCCCGUCUCCGACGUCCGCGGCCGCCGCGGGUAAAACCCUAGCGCAUCUCGGCCGUCCAUUUCAUCCCAACGGUCCAGAUUAGAUCCUAGAUUUUAAUUUAAUCGAACCAGUACGCGCCUAUUAGAACGUGACAUGUGGCACGGUAAAAUAAAAAUGAAAAUCUAAUUUUAAUCCCCCGGAAUAAUUAAAUGGCACUUUUGCAGAAAAACCCCUGUAACUUCAAAUGAUCAUAUCUUUUAAUCUUUUGGCCAAAUUUAACGAUCCACACCUUUUUAGAAUCCUUAGGAAAUUUAGAAUCUUUUGGCACUAUCCAAUUUCAAAUUUCAAUAUUUGAAUCACAUUCAAAUUUUAGAAUAGGGUUUAAUGCCAUUUAAAUCAUAACUAAUUAUUUAGAAAUCAUUUUUAAUUGAAACCAGUGCCCAAAUAUUUGUUUUAUUAUCCUCUGUUCAUUGGGACAGAGAAAUAAAUAUUUGAAUUAAAUUAUUUGACUGAGGCCCAUAAAAUUUAGGGUUUUAAUAAACUGUUUUUGCCUUUUGUUUAAAACCCUAGUGCUUUAUUUUUAAUUGGCAAUGCUUGGGAUCAGUUGAUCAUCCAAAUAAAAUAAACCAAGACAUGUCACAUGUAUACAUUGCAUCAUGGCAUACAUUCUUACUCUUGAUUGUAUUGUGUGUUUAUGUAUGCAAUGUUUGUAUUUGAUUAGUUUUCUCGGAGAGCGAACUGUGCGAUUGCGAAGAGUGCUUGAGUACCAACUGCUAUCAAGGCAAGUUCACUUUGACCAUCAUCCCAUUAUUUUAUUAUGCACUAGAUUUUAUUAGUUGCAUUGUUAGGAUUAUUAUUAUAUUUAUGCUAGCUAUGAUUCUCCUAGUAGUGUAGGAUACCCUUGCCAUGUCCUCACCACCAAUUGCCAUCGUCGUAGAAAAAUGCUAUGCUAUGAUAAUAUACGAGGGUGGUAUUUUUGCAAUGUGAUACUAUUGAAUUACAAUAUGGUUUUCUUAGUGUAUGGCAAAACAAGUAAUUCAAUGAACCGUCCUGGGUGGGCUGCUAUGAGGAAGUGGAGAUGUAUGCAACGUCAGGUCCAUUUCUAUGGGUCCAUUUCUAUGAGUCGUCUCGCCAUUUCUGUGGGAGCAUCUGCGUUGCAACUGAGGAAUGCCACCCGGGGUAACCAGAGACUGGACUAGUUUCCUGUUUAGUAGCUUCCAGUACAACCACAUGGUAUUAUGGGCUCUGCCAGGAUGGAUGUAAAAAAUAUGAACCCGGAUCCAAGGUGACAUCGGUAUGUAGCAGUGUAGGUGGGGGCGCGUCCCUCAGGUGGUCUAGGGGAUUAUGUUAUGAAAAUUCAUGUAGUCGAUGCCGUUGCUACUCUACCCUGAGGACAGCAAGGGAUUAACACGUCGAUUUCUUGUGGGGAAUGUGUACAACCUCUCGAGAGUGUCAAACUAAGUACUUAGCCGUGUCCCCAGUUACGGACAAUUAUGAGCAACUAGAUAUUGGGGCUGUAAGGAAGGUCUCACUCAUUCCAAUUUCAUAACAAAACAAAUGGAUUGAACUGGGUAGGAGCAUUGUUGUUUCUACUCAAUGUGGCUAGGUUAAUAGGAGCAUGGGUGUUUCUACUCCGUGUCCAAUAGAAUUCAAAACUAUUUGUUUAAACAUGAUAGGAUUGAACUAUGAUGCUUUUAUGCAACCAGCCAAACUCCACAUAGCCAAAUUAUGCAUCUACUUGGUAGGUCCUUUAUAACUCUUGUGAACUUGCCAAUACAUUGAAAUGUAUUGACCACGUAGUGGCUGCAAUUAACAAUGCAGGUGGAUCCGAAGAUGAGUGAGCUUCGUCGUUAUGUUGUGGGUCAUGUGCUUACAUUCCAACAUGCUCUCACCUUCGAGUAGUUGUGGCCCUUAUGUUCUACCCUUUUCCGCUGCGGUAGUUUGAAACAUUGUUUUUUUUUAUGAUGAAAUGGUCUUUGUUUUUUGCUGACCCAAGAGGUCAUGCGAGGUUUUAAGUACUAUUUAAAUCCUGGAUGAUGCGAUGUAAUAAAGUACCUUGACCUUUGUUUCUGUAUAUUUCAUCAUGAAACUGUGUGUGCUAGUGAGUCAAUACAGGGACUAGCACAGUAAGCACAGGGAUCGAACCCUAGUAAGGGGGAGGAUCGCUUCAGAUGGUAUCAGAGCAAUGUGUUGCCUGUAAGAACGUGACCCUAGCUUGGAUUAGGAUAAGACAGACCAAAGACCAAACCUUAGGAUUACUUUUUAUCCCUAUCUGAUCUAUAUAUAUACAUAUAUUUUAUUCCUUAUCCUAUUCAUCUGAAUCUUUGCUUUUAUAUCUUACAUAUGCGUGACAUAUUUGUUAUUUUAUUCCACAUAUACACCAAAUACUAUGCUUUAUACCACAUAUGCAUGUUUAUUAUAUUAUACCACAGAUGCAUACUUAUUUUUAUUACACCGUACACCACUAUAAUCAUGUUGCCAUGUUACGCACAUAAUAUUUUGCAUCCAAUUUUAUAUUGGCAUUUCCACCAUAAUAUUAAUGCUUAUUACUUUGUUCCCACUUUACUACAUUUACCUUAUUUUAUUUUUCCUCCAUACAUCCGACCAUUUGAUCAUGUCACUAAUACUCCCUUAUCUACCUUCUUUGUUUUCUAUAAAUGGGAAGCCCAACACCGUUCGGCAACGUAUCGCCGUUCACCCGUGUCUACUACCCCUCCACGGACGAGACCAGUUGUUCAGUGGCCCUUUGGCGGCACUGUGUGUUUUCCUCGACCUGCCACCACCCAGGUUCAGAGGCUGAGUCGAGACCGCCGCACCCGAGGGAUGGCAGCCACGGUGGGAGAUCGAGGCGAAGAUCCGUGGGCGUGAGAUCGCGCCAGCAAUGCCGGAUAUCACCUUCAUCAGCCGCUACCCCACCUUCGAGCGGGGCCUUAAGUUCGCCAUGCAGUACGCCUUCGCACAGGUGUGCCGGGACAAUCGGCACGAGUUCCCCGAGGACUCCCCCUUCCUCCUCUUUGGAAGGCGGAACCAUGCAUGCUCGGCAGUGGCUACAACCAACGACGAGGAUGCAACCCCAGUGACGACCCACUUCGAGAACAUGGAGAUAAACACCGUGGACUUGGAGUCUUGCCUCGAGCACAAGAUGACCAGGGCCGACCUAGCCGAGGAGCAGGUUGGUAAUCUGCUGGGAGAGAAGACCCAGUGGCUGGAGGACAAGGCCGUGUUGGAGAACAUGGGAGACGCCAUCGAGUAGAUGCAGUAUGAGAGGGACCAGGCUCGCUACUACUGCGAGCAGUUCAAGGCCUUCAUUGAGGCAGCAGCCGCAGCCGCCGCAGAGCCAGCACCAACUGCCGCACCGGCACCAGACCAGGCCCCACCAGGAGGUGGUACCAUAGGAGGAGGUGCCGACUGAGGAGGAGGAGCCCCGGGAGGUCCGCGAGAUGGACACCCCUGCCACCAACACCCGCUCCAAGAGGAAGAGGGUAAAUGGAGCCGCGACAUCAGCCCCACCUCCCUAGUCUCGAUGCCUGCCAGACUUUGUCAUUUUCUAUCGUUAUCAGUAUUGUGAGUUAGUCAUUGACCAUACAAUCUAUGUGUAUGUUAAUGUAGAUCGAUUGCAUUUUCCGUACUCUUUAUGGGCAGUACCCCAUCAUGAACAAGUCUGUUUUUGCUAUAAUUUCAAAAACUUUUUUUUAUGAUUGAUUGGGUGUAUGUUUGAUAUAUGCUUGAGUUAUAUCUUGUUUUGGGGGUUUAGUUAUCCUUAGCUCUAUUCUAUCUGUUUCCUCAUCUAUGCUACCCUAAACAGAUGCCUCCGAGACGCCAGAACCCUGCCAACAACGCUGAGGCUAACAAUGCCGACGCAGAAGGGAAUGCUGCAACCAUGCAGCAACUGUUGGCAGCACAGACCCAGUUGUUUCAGUUGAUUACACAGCAAAUGGCCAACAACAACAAUCAGCAGAACCACAACAACCAGCAGCACCACCCACCUCAAGUGGAUAUGCUGACCAGAUUUCUGCGUUUGCGCCCGCCUACCUUUUCCAGCUCCACUGAGCCCAUAAUGGCUGACGAUUGGCUACGUUCGGUCAACAAAAAUUUGGUCACCAUCAACUGCGUUGAGGAAGAGAAAGUGCGAUUCGCAGCUCAUUUGCUAGAAGGACCCGCAGCGUCAUGGUGGGAGAAUUUUCAGAUCACCACCACCAUCGAGGAUGUCACCUGGGACAUGUUCCAGUAAGCCUUCCGCACCACCCACGUCUCUGCGGGAGUGCUUAGCCUGAAGAAGAUGGAAUUCCACAGACUGCGACAGGGAAGCCGCUCUGUGUCAGAGUAUAUAGAAGUUUUCAACCAACUGUCCCACUAUGCGCCGGACGAUGUGUACACCGAUGCCAAGCACAGGGAGAAGUUCUUGGAUGUUUGAACGACGAGCUAUCGGUUCAAUUCGCUGUUGCUUACACCCCCACUUACCAGUCCCUGAUUGACAAGGCCAUCAUUUUGGAGAGCAAACUCACUCAAAUGGAGAGCCGCAAGAAGAGACUUCACCAAGGAGGCUCUCACAGUGGCCCGCACCAGAAGCAGCGCACCUCCUAUGACGGAAGUGGCAGUUCCUCCUUGAGCAGGAACGGGAACCAGAGCAACCACCGCAGUGGAAGUAAUGGUCACCACCACCGCCAGGGAAGCCAAGGACACCACCACCAGGGUGGCAAUGGAAACCGGCACCAUCCGCAGCACCAACACCAGCAGCAGCAUCAGUUCACUCGCCCAAGGCCCAUCAACGGCAAUGGCCAGGGCAACAGUGGUCAGAACCACAAUGCCAACAAGGACAUGAGCAAAGUGGAGAGUGCUUUAAGUGUCACAAGAUGGGACACUACGCCACCAACUGCCCGGAGAACCAGGAUGGCACUGGAAACAAGCCCAAUCCAUUCCAGAAGGGCCACGUGAAUCACGUGGACGUGGAAGAGAUCACCGAGGAACCAGGUAUCAUACUUGGCACCUUCCACAUUAAUGCUUUUGAAGUACUAGUUUUAUUCGACACUGGUGCAUCACAUUCAUUCAUUUCAAGAGUAUUGGUAGAAAGAGGCAAAUUACCCUCUUGGCUAGACCCAUGAAAGUGAACUCACCGGGUGGAACAAUGCUAGCAACCCAACACUGCCACCAGCUACCCCUAAGUAUUGGGAGACACACUUUUCCCUCUGAUCUCAUAGUUAUAGAUUCCCGAGGACCGGACCUAAUCCUGGGAAUGGACUGGUUGACCUUGUAUGAAGGUUUAGUAGACUGUGCCUAGAGGACUAUCACACUUACAACCCCAGACAAAAGACGCAUCCGGUACAAGUCAACCCAUGAGCUUAAGAGACCCAAGGUUAAUGCUCUUAAGGGGGUUAGCAUGGACAAAGUACCAAUAGUGAAGGAAUACCCGGACGUAUUUCCAGAGGAAUUACCAGGCAUGCCACCGGACCAUGAUGUUGAGUUCCUCAUUGAGUUAAUGCCAGGAAGUGGACCCAUAGCCAAGAGACCAUAUAAGAUGGCUGUGGAUGAAUUAAAGGAGUUAAAGAAAUAGCUAGCUGAACAGUUAGCGAAAGGUUUCAUCCGCCCCAGUUCAUCACCGUGGGGAGCACCUGUCCUGUUUGUGGAAAAGAAGGACAAGAGCCAAUGGAUGUGUAUCGACUAUCGUCCACUAAAUGAGGUGACGAUAAAGAAAAAGUAUCCUUUGCCCAUAAUCAAGGAUCUAUUCGAUCAAUUGAAGGGAGCUCAAGUGUUCUCAAAGAUCGAUCUGCGAUCAGGACAUUUUCAGUUGAAAAUCCGAGAGAUGGAUAUAACCAAGACGACAUUCACCACUAGGUAUGGAUUGUAUGAGUACACCGUGAUGCCAUUCGGUUUGACCAAUGCACCUGCAUACUUCAUGAACAUGAUGAACAAGGUGUUCAUGGAAUUCUUGGACAACUUUGUCAUAGUAUUCAUCAAUGACAUAUUGAUCUAUUCCAAGAGCAAGGAAGAGCAUGAGCAACAUCUGCACAUGAUUUUGGAGAAGGUGAGAGCGCACCAGCUGUACGCCAAAUUCAGCAGGUGUGAAUUUUGGUUAUCAGAAGUCAGUUUCCUUGGACACAUAGUGUCAGGAGCCGGAGUAGCUGUUGACCCAGCUAAGGUUGCAGCAGUUACAGAAUGGGAGGCACCGAAGAACAUCGGGGAAGUCCGCAGUUUCCUUGGACUUGCUGGUUACUACUGGAGAUUUAUUGAAAACUUCUCCAAAAUAGCUAAACCUAUGACGGAACUCUUAAAGAAGGAGAAGAAGUUUACCUGGAAUGAGAAUUGUGAAGAGAGCUUCCAGGAAUUGAAGAAGAGACUAGUGUCAACGCCCAUCCUUGCUUUACCUGACCUGCAGGAGGAUUUUCAAGUUUACUAUGACGCCUCACGUCAAGGAUUGGGAGGAGUGUUGAUGCAAGGAGGAAGAGUUGUAGCGUACGCUUCGCGGCAACUAGAGAGCCACGAAGGCAACUAUCCCACUCAUGACUUGGAGUUAGCAUCGAUAGUGCACGCCCUGAAGACUUGGAGACACUACCUGAUGGGAAAACAUUGUGAACUAUUUACUGAUCACAAGAGCCUGAAGUACAUAUUCACUCAGAAGGAGUUGAAUCUGAGGCAGAGAAGAUGGUUAGAACUGAUAAAGGAUUAUGACCUGAGUCUGCAAUACCAUCCAGGCAAGGCUAAUGUAGUAGCCAAUGCAUUGAGCCGCAAGGGCUAUAUUAAUGGACUAACAGCUGGAGAAUUACCACCGGAGUUGUGUGAACAGUUCAAGGACCUCAGACUGGAAAUAGUACCGGAAGGUUACUUAGCCACCUCAGAAGUACAGCCCACGUUGCUGGAUAAGAUUAGAGAAGCACAGAAGAGCGAUUCAAAAAUUAAGGAAAUAAAAGAAAAUAUGCUUAUUGGAAAGGCCAAAGAUUUUCGAGAAGACGACCAGUGAACCAUAUGGUUCGGAAAACGCAUUUGCGUACCGCAGGAUCCAGAAAUCAGAAAGUUGAUACUGCAAGAAGCCCAUGACUCACUGUACUCAAUCCACCCUGGAAACACGAAGAUGUACAUGGACCUAAACAUUUUGGUGGUCCGGAUUAAAGCGAGACAUCGCAGAGUUCAUUGCCUUGUGCGAUGUGUGUAGCAGAGUUAAGACAGAGCACUAGAAGCCAGCAGGAUUGCUAAGACCGCUGCCUAUACCAGACUGGAAAUGGGAUAAAGUUGGCAUGGACUUUAUCACCGGUUUACCAAGAACCAGAUCAGGUUAUGAUUCUAUUUGGGUAGUAGUUGAUCGUUUAACCAAGGUCGCCCAUUUCAUACUGGUGAAGACUACUUACACCAGUGCACAGUUAGCGAAACGCUACAUUUCCAGAAUAGUGUGUUUACACGGGGUACCCAAGGAAAUAGUUUCAGACAUAGGUACCCAAUUUACCUCAAGAUUUUGGGGACAGCUUCAUGAGUCUCUAGGAACGAGACUAGAGUUCAGCACAGCUUUUCAUCCGCAGACGGAUGGACAAACUGAGAGAGUUAAUCAAAUCCUUGAGGAUAUGUUGAGAGCCUGCGCUCUAGACUAUGGAUCCAGUUGGGAUGACAAUCUGUCGUAUGCAGAGUUUUCAUACAACAACAGCUUCCAAGCCAGCUUAGGAAUGUCACCGUUUGAAGCUUUGUAUGGAAGGAAGUGCAUAACACCAUUGUUAUGGGAUGGUGUAGGAGACCGUAGCCUAUUCGGCAAAGAUUUGAUAAAGGAUGCCGAGGAAAAGGUUAGACUCAUCCGAGACCGACUGAAGGUAGCUCAGUCAAGGCAGAAAAGCUCCGCAGAUACCAAACGUAGGGAGGUUACCUACGUGAUUGAAGGAAGAGCGUAUCUCAGAGUUUCGCCGAUACGCGGGGUAAAGAAAUUUGGUAUCAAGGGAAAGUUAGCACCCCGUUUCAUUGGACCUUUCAAGAUCUUGUCACGCCAAGGAGAAGUGGUUUACAAGUUGGAUUUACCAGAAGCUCUGUCCAAUGUCCACAAUGUCUUCCAUGUAUCGCAACUAAAGAAGUGUCAUCCUAAGAUGGCCGACACACCACUAAGGGAUACGAUACCCCUAGAAGAAGUCCAGCUGCAGAGUGACCUCACCUAUGAGGAGAAACCGAUCAGGAUCUUGGAUACAGCUGAGAGACAAACCCGAUCCAAGACCAUCAGGUUCUGCAAAGUUCAGUGGGACCAUCACACUGAAGAGGAAGCCACUUGGGAACGCGAAGAUGAUCUUCGAGAAGACCACCCACACCUCUUUGCUAGCCACACCGAAUCUUGAGGACGAGAUUCAUCUUAAGGGGUUAGGUCUGUAACAUCCCAAAAUUUCAAACUUUUACAUGUGCAUUGCAUCAUAAGCAUCAUGCCACAAUUGCAUAUUUGAAUUCAAUUUUGAAUCUCAAAAGGCUUUGGAAAGAUUUUUAUUUCAAUUUAAACCUUAGCGUUUACACCCAUUUGAGCUUUGGAUCUUCAAACCAAUAAGAUUUAUUUAUAAAAGGGGUUUAUUGCAUAAAUAAGCUAUCCCAUAAUUUUUGGAUAAUUAUUUGGAGUUGAAAAACUAUUUUAUUUAAAUAGUUAUAUAGCCCUAAAGGCAUUUAUAGGGCAAAUGUAUUUUUAUAUACUUUAUUUUGAGGGGAAAUUACUCCCAAAAGUUGUAUCAUGGUAAAGCAUGAUUUUACAAAUUUUCUGGAAUUUAUUUGGACCAAUUUGGAGUUCAAAAUCAAAAGAUAUCAAAGAAAUAAGAAAAACAGAAAAAGAAAAGGCUAAAAGAAAAAAAAGGGGAGAAAACCUCGCGCUGUCUUCGCCGAGAUCUCCGUGCUCCGUCCAUAUUUCGCAGCCCCGCUCGCAUCCUUUAAAAGCCCAUGCCUCCCUCUCUUCUUCCCCUCUUCUCGCCGCCUCGAUUACGCGCCCACGCCGAUGAAUUUGCUCGCCGAAACCCUAGCGGCGCCGUCGCCGUCUAUCGCCCCGCGCCGGCUCGUCGGUGAGCUUCUUCACCCAAACCUUGAAAUUUCUGGACCGCAUUGCCCUCGCGCCCGUUUUGACGCGUGCGGAUUUGUCCUAGGUGCCCCCUAGCCGCCAGAAACGCGCCGCCCGUUGCUCGCCGGAGUUCCGCCCGCACUCGUCUCCGUCCCCGGCAAGGCGUCCGCCGUCCCCGAGCGCCGACCACCGCGUCCGCGACUUCGCCGUGUCGCGCCGCGUCGCCCCCGACCAGCCCCGAGCCGCCCGCGUUGCCAGAGUACCCGCGCCACCGUCUUCCCCGUCUCCGACGUCCGCCGCCGCCGCGGGUAAAACCCUAGCGCAUAUCGGCUGUCCAUUUCAUCCCAACGGUCCAGAUUAGAUCCUAGAUUUUAAUUUAAUCGAACCGGUACACGCCUAUUAGACGUGACACGUGGCACGGUAAAAUAAAAAUGAAAAUCUAAUUUUAAUCCCCCGGAAUAAUUAAAUGGCACUUUUGCAGAAAAGCCCCUGUAACUACAAAUGAUCAUAUCUUUUAAUCUUUUGGCCAAAUUUAACGAUCCACACCUUUUUGGAAACCGUAGGAAAUGUAGAAUCUUUUGGCACUGUCCAAUUUCAAAUUUGAAUAUUUGAAUCACAUUCAAAUUUCAGAAUAGGGUUUAAUGCCAUUUAAAUCAUAACUAAUUAUUUAGAAAUCAUUUUUAAUUGAAACCAGUGCCCAAAAAUUUAUUUUAUUAUCCUCUAUUCAUUGGGACAGAGAAAUAAAUAUUUUGAAUUAAAUUAUUUGACUGAUGCCCAUAAAAUUUAGGGUUUUAAUAAACUGUUUUUGCCUUUUGUUUAAAACCCUAGUGCUUUAUUUUUAAUUGGCAAUCCUUGGGAUCAGUUGAUCAUCCAAAUAAAAUAAAUCAAGACAUGUCACAUGUAUACAUUGCAUCAUGGCAUACAUUCUUACUCUUGAUUGUAUUGUGUGUUUAUGUAUGCAAUGUUUGUAUUUGAUUAGUUUUCUCGGAGAGCGAACUGUGCGAUUGUGAAGAGUGCUUGAGUACCAACUGCUAUCAAGGCAAGUUCACUUUGACCAUCAUCCCAUUAUUUUAUUAUGCACUAGAUUUUAUUAGUUGCAUUGUUAGGAUUAUUAUUGUAUCAAUGUUAGCUAUGAUUCUCCUAGUAGUGUAGGAUACCCUUGCCAUGUCCUCACCACCAAUUGCCAUCGUCGUAGAAAAAUGCUAUGCUAUGAUAAUAUACGAGGGUGGUAUUAUUGCAAUGCGAUACUAUUGAAUUACAAUAUGGUUUUCUUAGUGUAUGGCAAAACAAGUAAUUCAAUGAACCGUCCUGGGUGGGCUGCUAUGAGGAAGUGGAGAUGUAUGCAACGUCAGGUCCAUUUCUGUGGGUCCAUUUCUAUGAGUCGUCUCGCCAUUUCUAUGGGAGCGUCUGCGUUGCAACUGAGGAAUGCCACCCGGGGUAACCAGAGACUGGACUAGUUUCCUGUUUAGUAGCUUCCAGUACAACCACAUGGUAUUAUGGGCUCUGGGGGAUUAUGUUCUGAAAAUUCCUGUAGUCGAUGCCGUUGCUACUCUACCCUGAGGACAGCAAGGGAUUAACACGUCGAUUUCUUGUGGGGAAUGUGUACAACCUCUCGAGAGUGUCAAACUAAGUACUUAGCCGUGUCCCCGGUUUCGGACAAUUAUGAGCAACUAGAUAUUGGGGCUGUAAGGAAGGUCUCACUCAUUCCAAUUUCAUAACAAAACGAAUGGAUUGAACUGGGUAGGAGCAUUGUUGUUUCUACUCAAUGUGGCUAGGUUAAUAGGAGCAUGGGUGUUUCUACUCCGUGUCCAAUAGAAUUCAAAACUAUUUGUUUAAACAUGAUAGGAUUGAACUAUGAUGCUUUUAUGCAACCAGCCAAACUCCACAUAGCCAAAUUAUGCAUCUACUUGGUAGGUCCUUUAUAACUCUUGUGAACUUGCCAAUACAUUGAAAUGUAUUGACCACGUAGUGGCUGCAAUUAACAAUGCAGGUGGAUCCGAAGAUGAGUGAGCUUCGUCGUUAUGUUGUGGGUCAUGUGCUUACAUUCCAACAUGCUCUCACCUUCGAGUAGUUGUGGCCCUUAUGUUCUACCCUUUUCCGCUGCGGUAGUUUGAAACAUUGUUUUUUUUAUGAUGAAAUGGUCUUUGUUUUUUGCUGACCCAAGAGGUCAUGCGAGGUUUUAAAUACUAUUUAAAUCCUGGAUGAUGCGAUGUAAUAAAGUACCUUGACCUUUGUUUCUGUAUAUUUCAUCAUGAAACUGUGUGUGCUAGUGAGUCGAUCCAGGGACUAGCACAGUAAGCACAGGGAUCGAACCCUAGUAAGGGGGAGGAUCGCUUCAUGUGGCAUCCCCCACCACUGAUCUUGGUCUUUUAGUCGUGAUGCUUUGGCCCGCCAGACGGACCUAUCAGCUGCGCGGCCCACAACGCCGCACUCUCCUCAGAGAACGUCGCUGAAAAAAGUCAAGCCGAAAUUGUUAAGUACCUCCGCAAGGGAAAAACAAUCGAAGCGCGAAGGGAAGAGGAGUGGCACUCACGUGUGGUGACAAGAUGAGGAGGACGGAAAGAUCGAGGGAUCCCAAUCUCGGACCUCGGACGACUCCUCAUCAUAAAGUGCCCCGCCAUCAGCAUCUCCUCCAUGAGGUCACGAAAGCUCCUCUCGGAAGACACCUCCUUUAUCUUGGCCACCUUCCAGAGGGGCCAACCGAGGCUCGCCGGGGUGAGGCACAUCCCUGAGGCCUCCUGCCCCAGAGUGCCGAGGAAGAUCACCCGUGUGCCGAAGACGGGUCCUCGAGGCCCGAAGGAGAAACCACUGGGACUCCCACUUGAUGAACAACUUCUCCGUCCUCUUCCCCAACAUGAGUAGGAAGUUGUCCCCAAAGCCGGAACGAAGCCUCAGGUUCACCGAACCAAAGGCACUCAGAGCGAAUCCGUCCGGAGUGAGCAACCCCCUCACCUCCACGGUGAAGUAGAACAACAGAAGCUUCAUCGAAGGCUCCUCGUGAAGUGUCGUCUCACACAGCCACCUGAAGACGUUCAACCUCACGAUCGUCGACGGGUGAAGCUGGGCCAACUCGAUGCCGUAUGUCUCCAGGUACUCCAGCAAGAAGGGGUGACCGGCACACUCAAACCGGCGUGAAACCAAGCCGAGAAUGCCACGAUGCAUCCCGGACGCUGCCGCUGGUCAAGCCUAACCUCCUCGCUAUCGGGCAAGAUACCGUCUGACGUGGUUAUGACUAACCACGUACCCGACUUGAGUAUACCCGGUACAGCCCAGCUGGGGGCCCACAAGGAAGCCUACUACGACUCCAGGAGUCUACAUGCCAAAUCUUGCAACUCAAGAUAAGGAAGAUUAAUUAGAGUGUAUCUCCUCAUUGUAACCGACUUGGACUCUACCUUAGACCUGAGUUCCUGCAUAUAUAAAGGACCAAGAGGACACCCCAACUUAGAUAGAAGUCGCCUAGAAGCGCUCAUCAACUCUGUGCAUCUAGACUCUGCGGCACCCCAUUGUAAUCGACUCAUCAAUACAGAUCCGACAAGCAGGACGUAGGGGUAUUACCUCAUCGAGGGCCCUGAACCUGGGUAAAUCGUGUCUCCUGUGUCCUUGUUAGCCGAAGAGUUCACCAAAACACUCAAAAUCUUUCCUAGAUACAAGUCCAUCAAUAUGGACAUUGUCGAAGUCACAUCUUCGUCAUUGGUGCCGUCUGUGGGAAAGACGUGUGUUGGAAACACGACCUCGGCGGUUUCAGAUCCAGCACAACCAUCAUCGACUCAAGCGGAGUCGACGAUCCUCGAGUCCUCUAUAAGCUUGAUGCCCACCUGGAUCUCAUAUUCGGCGAGUUCCACGUCCGAGCCGGUAUCCUUCGACUACCAUGUCCGACUGACUCGACUCCAAAAGAGUUGCUUCUCCUUUCUACCUCAGAGAAAGACCCGCCGACAGGCUCGUCGGAGCCACUCAAGGAAGCAAAGCAAGUCCCCUCUUGGACAUGCUCCGAUUCUAAAGACGAUCCAUCCUCACGUGCGGACAGCCCCGUCCCUAGCGACGAUGGCGACCGCUCGGAACAAGGAAGUUGCCAUGACAACCCCACCUCGCCGGGUUCACCCAACGAAACAGAACAGGUUUCCUUUGGAACUACUCUGAUUCUGAUAGAAAUCCACCCCAGUCUGCCGAAAGCCCCAUCCCAAGCGACGCCGGCAACUGCUCAGAGUGGGAAGGCUGUCAUAGCAGCAGCGAUCUUGCACCCAAGUGCGCCAUCGCUCAAGUCUUCAUGACAAAUCCCGUCGCCCCGAAGCCGACUCCCCCGGUUGCGAGUGCAUCCGCAAAUCUGCCGACUAGAUAUCCCGCGGUAGAGAAAGCUCGAGUCCAGGCAGCUGUUGAGUCGGGAGUCCUCAUGAAGGAUCCCACCACCGCUGAGUUGCAAUUAUAUGCCAACUCUCUUGCCAGGUCCCAAUGUGACCUGAAUAAAGAGAAAGAGGAUUUCGUCAAGAAGCAAAAGCUUGAAGCAGAGAGAUUGAAGAAACUAGAUGAAGAUAUCCAGGCACACAAAAGAACUCGCUCGGGUUCACGCAGCGAUUCUGAUGGAGCCACUCCUCCUAGAGCUCUCCCAAACGAAAUGUCUCGGGUCGUGACCACACGACCCGAAACCUGGCUCCAAGCUUCAUGUCGGUUGACGACCACGGCGAUAUCGUACUAGAAACCCCAGAGGCUGUCUUGCUUGCAACCAAUACUUACCUACAAACAAUCCAGCCACCCGACAGUGACCCGCGCGUGCGGCUUCAAAAACAGAUUCUGGAAAGAUUGAAUAGGGUAGGGGCUUCUUGUAUCAGCUAGGAUUUCAACAACCGAAGGCCGCCGCUGGACAGGACUCCAUCCCGCAGCGAAGGAGAAAUCUAGCACAACCUCGACCCGCCUCCACGUGGCUGCAGGGAGCGCGACUCGCACCCAAGGAAAACACUAGGAUCCCCUCGGGUCGCAAACCGUGAUCGGCAAGACAGGUAUCGCGACCGCUUGCUAGACUCCAAUCACAAGGCGGAGACAUGCGGAGCGUCUUGCUUCAGCCGUCGCAUCCGCCAAGCUAGGAUGCCCAGAAAUUUCAAACCGCCGACCGAUCUAGCCAAGUAUGACGGCACUCAAGAGCCCAAAACUUGGUUGGAAGACUACCUCACUGGGAUUCGCUGCCAAGGCGGUUCUCGUACUACCGCCAUGCAGUGCCUGCAGUUGCAACUCAAAGGCCCUGCACGCACGUGGCUAACCGGCUUACCACGAGACAACAUUGACUCGUGGGAUGAGCUCGUCCAAGCUUUCACCCGCAACUUCAAGUCCACGUACAAACGACCCAUCUCCCUAGAGCAACUCCGAGCUUGCAUUCAAAAAGAGGGAGAAUCCAUCCAUUCGUACAUCCAGCGCUAGACCAUAACCAAACAUGCUUCUGAAGAAGUCUCCGAUGAAAGCGCCAUCGACGCAUUCAAACGAGGACUCCGACGAGUCGAACUCAAGGAGGAAUUGGGUCAUGUCCGGCCCACAGCCAUCAGCUACCUGAUGGAAAUCGCCAAUCGAUGGGCUGAUGGUGAAGACUCGGUUCGCAAUGAGCGCCACCGAUCUCUAGAAGAAGACGGCGAUCGCGGUCACGAUCGAAGGAGGAAGCGCAAAAACCGAGCUUUCGAAGAGUCACACCCACCUGACUUCAUCGCAGCCGCCUCUCCGUCAGAUUUUGGCUCUCGGGAGAACGGGAAUCGCGGUGGAGGUUUUUGAGGUGGUGACAAGCGCAAGCAACAAUGGCAGAGAAACGAGAACCAACCCACCCUCUCUCAACAGCUGGCUUCCCCUUGCCUGUUUCACGUCUACAGGGAUGAGCAAGGCAACAUCAAGCCAAGUCACCCUGUAGCCGAGUGCCGGCGUUUCAAGGAACUACAGGCUGAGUUUGCCGGGACACAGCAGUUGGCAACCAGUGCUGGCUUCUCACAAUUACCUGGGUCGCUUCCAUACCCCAACGAAGGAGUCAAUGCGCCUUUGCCGCCUCCCAUACUAGGAGCUCUAGCCAUUGGUGCUCCUCCUCCUCCUCCGCGCCCAGCCAGUUUCGCCAGCGCAGUGCACCCAGUUGCAUGAUUCAGAAAGGGAAACCUGUGAGACCCCGGGACUGGAUUUAUGCAAUUUAGCCCCAAAUGCUAACUCGCACAUAAAUCAAGCCCCAGUGCCUCCCUACGAUGAACACUUCACAACAUACACGCAAUGUGUUCACCGCAGAUUGGAACAACAAUGAUAUCAUUACAUCACUCUAAGACACAAGAGUUAAGUCAAGUUCACACAUAGGGCAAAGUACCAAGUUAUUACAACUCACAGACACAUGUCCACAAUCAUCAUUACACCAGCGGAAGCAAAAUAGGCCCGAGUACGGACAAGUUACAAUUAUUGCCUAAGAGGCUGAAACUGAAAAGGAGAGCCACCACAAGUUCACAGAACCCUGCUCUGGGAUCUUCUGGCUAAACGUCGAAGCUGUCGUCGCCAACUCCACCAAGUAACCACUCACCUGUUCCUCUGGAAACUCUGGAGAAAACAACGUUGCAAAGCAACUGAGUACAAAGUACUCGCAAGACUUACGGGAGAUCUAAACUAGAUAUGCAACAAGUCUCAAAGGAUGGAUAAAAGAUGGAUUAUGCAGCAGCGAUAUAUAUCUGGAGAGACGCGCCUAUGACAUCGUCUAGAUAGAGGAUAAAGAGCGUCUACCAAGUGAGGUGAUAACCUAAUAACUAACACCAACCAAACACAACCUCUUAUCACCCCCUCAACCCCUUGUGAGGAAAUGAUCCAAAGGCACUCACACUUAAGCAGUUUUUAGGCAUAUCCAUGAUUAAAGGCUAAUUACUAUUCAAGUUUAAGAGACUAAGUUAAUUAAUUGGUAUGAGUUCUCUAUGAUCAAGUAAUGACCAACCAAGUCGUCCAUAACCGCGGAUACGGCUUUCCGAAAGAUUUAUCCCUGCAGGGUGUGCCAAUUUACCCGUACACGCUCGUCCAACCCUUGACGCCACUAGCAUGGAACACACGCAAAAGCAUGUGCCGGCAGGAUUGAGCGACACGACGUUUCCAAGCCCCACAACUAAUCCAGGGGACCACCCAACUGAGUCUAAUCCGAAACGAGAGCCCGGCCGAAGCGUCGUACGGACUCAAAAGUUGCGUGGACAGCUGGUAGUGGUUCACUGUCCGCAGAAUGACCACUCCAGACUAGUGCCACAAUCCUAUAUGUAUGCAAAGUAACAACAAGUCUCCAAACACAACCCCAGUGUAUAUGCGAUAUGCCAAAUGGAACGCCCGAACUAUGUGGCCCCUGGAAGAGCUAUGAAACGAGUACUAAGCCGAGGGGGAACCCAUAUAUUCUCCCGCGAGCGGUUAGCACGAAGUUUCUUGGGUCGGCGAAAACAAGAACUCAGUCCUUAGGUCGGCGCCAAUGGAACAAAACACCAAUGGAACAGGUCACAGUUUAAGAAUUGCAGUUAAAUACAGAAAAGUAGCAUGUGGAUGUAGCAAUUGUGUAACCCCAAGUAAGGACACUAGACUAGCAAUCUAAGCAGACUUCUAAUGACUAGAGCAAUAACAAACAUGUGACAUGGUAAUAGGGUAAGGAACAAGACAACAGGCAUUUGAGUAGAGCUGACUAAAGCUAUGCAAUACUAGAGGCAUCGUGACAAGAACCGAGAACGUAACCUAAUGCAAGAAUGAGAGAGAGGCAUUGGUAUAAUCAACAUGUUCAAGGAAUGGCUGCUUGCCUGGAUUCUCGGUCGCUGGGCACCGAGAGAGGGGAUCCGAAGAAGUGUGGGAACCCGGAUCGUCGACGGAGUAAGUCGGAGUUGCUAACGCAAAGAUCCAAAUCACACAAUACGCAAAUAAAUAACAAUUCAUAGGUGCAAUACACAAUACAACAUGAGAUGACAUGUGACAACAUGAUGCAUCAAGAUGCAAGUGAAAGGAUUCCAUUUAGCAUCAAAAUUAACCAUUAGGUGACAAGAACAUGGUUAACAAUAGCUUUAUCAUACACAAAUGGCCUAACCAGGUAUGCUACUGUGUUCUACAAGUUACAGUGAUCAACUUUGAUGCUUACAUUAUUUGCAGAAGAGUUACCAAUUUUAAACUAGAGACUAAACAAGUUCAUGCUUUUGAAUUUCAAAUCUGGGACAGAUUUGAAAUUUGAAACCUCAAAAUGUAAAUCUAGUUGCACAGUUAAAAUCCUUGCAUUUUUCUGAUUCCAAAACAUAUAUGGUUUGCUCAAAUUGGACAUAGCAUGCAUUUUCUAGGAUUUAAGCAAGAUUAACUCCAUUUAUGCAUUUAAACAAAAGCAAAAAGAAAACCACUCGGAACCAGCGCAUGGACUCGGUCCAUCGGGCGCAUCGGUGCACUAGGUGACUGACAGGUGGGUCCAUGGGGCCCACGUGUCAGUGGCCAGUUUAAGGCCACGGGAGAUCGAACCCGGGUCGGUCUGACCAAGCGAACGGACGAGUGAGGUAACCAGGCAGGCGGUGGAACGGAUCUUAGUAGAUCCAGGGCACAAGCCCUCUUAUCUGAACCCAAGCGGGCGGCUUGGGAGCACGCGCGGCAGCCACGGCGAGCAUGGAUGCCGGCGACCAAGCUAGUGGCGUAGGGGCUCCCUAACAAGGAAAAACAGAAGCGGUGCGCGAAGAGGGUCUAGAUGGCACGAAGGCCAUCACAGCAUCCUUAAGGAGACGACGGCGCGGCGACGAGCUGAAGCUUGCCGGCGCACGGCAGAGCGCGCGCUUGCGGCUACGGAGCUACGGUGCAUGAAAAGCAGCGCGGAAAGAGGCAAGAGGAAGAGCAUCUCACCCCGGAUCUUCAGGAGGAAGCUGGUGAGGAAAGAGUCAACGAGCUCACCGGAAUUUGUCGGAGAAGAGGCGGCGGCCGGAGAUGGGGAAGACGACCUAGGCGUCGGUGUAGACUUCCGCGCUCCAAUUCGUUGCACCCGGACGAAGAGGAAGACGAGGCGCGCUUGACGACGCGGUCGGCUUGCCGCCGUUCGGCCGGAGACGGGGGCGCGUUGGCGACGAGCUCGCGGCAGAAAACGGGCGCCGGCGCCGCGCAGCGAGAGAGGGGAGUUGGGCUAGGGUUUGCCGGCCUAGGGUUAGCAGGAGGGGCGCGGAGCAGCUUAUAAAGGUGGCGUGGAGGCGUGGCUGUCGCUGUCGAAGAGGAUGUGGCGGGGGGGCUCACCGGUCGGGAGGGAGAAAAGGUGAGGAGGAAGACGGGCGUGUGAGAGGUCGCGUAUUUCGUAGAAUGCGCUUUCGCUGCGGGGAAACGGCACGCGGGCGCUGCGCGAAGGAAGCUGGGCCGCGAGCGCGGGCGGGCCGCGCGCGCGAGGAGAAAGGAUGGGCCGCGUUGCUGGGCUGCGCGGCGCGCGGGGAAGGCGGGCCGAGGCGGCUAGGCCGGCUCGGGCCAAGUGAGCAGGUAAGGUUUUGUUUUUCUUUUUCCCUUUUCUAUUUUCUGUUUGUGCAAAUGCUUUUGGAUUCAAAUUUCAAAUACCAUUUUGAAAAGCUGAGAAGUAAUAGAAUUCAAAUAUGGUACUAGUAUUUGGAAUUAUUCAAAUGGGGUUUAAGGUUUAAAACAAAACCCAUUUGAAUCUCAUUUGAAAAAUAGAGGGAAAAGAAUUCAAACUAUAAGGAGGGUGAUUCAUAUUUGAAUCUUCUAGCAAAAUUACACAACAAGCAUUCAAACCACAAUUUGAGAUGCAAAUUUAAAACUCAUGUGACACAAAUAAUAGACAUGGCAUGGCAUGGAUGCAAUGUAAUUGUCAUGCAGCAUUUAAAUAAAUUACAAACAGGUCCAAACAAGGGCUUAAAUGUAAAAGUUGUUCUCGGGCUGUUACAAAACCCACAAAUCGGGUCCAGAAGUCCAUAACUCGACAGGUCCAUAUGGCCGUGAGGUCACCUCCCUCUUCAACGAAGUACCUCGACUGGUCUAAAGUGGAGAUCGCAUUCUCCAGAGAAGAUCACCCACCCUGCAUCCCGCAAUCGGGAAACGCAGCACUGGUGCUCGACGCACAUAUCGGGGGCUACAUUUUAAACAAAGUGUUCAUCGACGGCGGAAGUGGGCUAAACAUUAUCUACGCCGACACCUUACGAAAGAUGAACCGCUCAACAACAAAGCUGGCUCCCACAAAGACAACCUUCCAUGGGAUCAUCCCAGGAAAAGUAGCCAUCCCGCUGGGCAAAGUUAACCUUGACGUGGUGUUCGGCACACCCGACAAUUUCAGACGUGAAAGACUCGACUUCGAAGUGGUUGACUGGCCAUCCCAGUACCACGUGGUCUUGAGUCGCGUCGCGCUAGCACGCUUUAUGGCAGUCUUGCAUUACGCUUACCUUAAGCUAGAAAUGCCUGGACCCAACGGCGUGAUAACUAUCUCUGGAAGCUUCCUGUGGUCUGACCACUGCGACUGUGAAUUCCAUAAAAUUUCCGAGUCACUUGCCACACAGGACCAGGCUGGCCAGGCCUACUUCUUAACAGACGACGACCAAAAUUUCGUCCUUAAGAAAAGAGCCAUUGAGGCCACAGGCGAUGUAGACUUGAAGACAGAGGUAGCACAGGCCUCUUCAUCAAAGGAGGCCAACGCUGGCUCAGCCAGCAGCCCUAUCAACUAAGGAGUACUGGCUCGCUGAGCUCCCCCAAUCGCAACAUGAAGCGAUCCUCCCCCUUACAGGGUUCGAUCUCUAUGCUUAUUUGUGCAAGUCCCUGGAUCGACUCACUAGCACACACAGUUUCAAGAUGUAAUACCAAGAUAAAAAGGUCAAAAGUACUUUAUUACAUCGUAUCAUCCAGAAUUAAUUGUACUUACAAAUUUGCAUGACCCCUUGGGUCAGCAUAACAAAUAGAGUUUCAAGAUAACAAGAAUAUUUUUUCAAAAACUUGCAGCGGAAAGGUAGAGCAAAUGGGCCUCAACUACUCUUAGAGGAGAGAGCAUGUUGGAAUGUAAGCACAUGACCCAAAGAACAUCGACGAACCUCACUCUUUGUCAGAUUCACCUCCAUUAUUGAUUGCAGCCACUACGUGGUCAAUACAUUGAAUGUAUUGGCAAGUUCACCUGGAAGUUAUAACAGAUCCUACCAAGUAUAUGCAAUUAAGGUAUAGUGGGUUCAGGCUUUAUGGCGUGGUAGCAACAACAUAGUUUAUCCUACUAAAAUUGAAUGUUACAUUAUUAUUAACUAAUGGACACGGGGUAGAAACACCCAUGCUCCUAUUAACCUAGAGCACAUUGAGUAGAUACAUCAAGUGCCCCUAUCCUGUUCAAACCAUUCAUUUUAUUUAAGAAAUUAGAAUGAGUGAGACCUUCCUUAUAGCCCCCAUACCUAGUUGCUAAUAAUUGUCUGUAACCGGGGACACGGCUAAGUACUUAGUUUGACACUCUCGAGAGGUUGUACACAUUCCCCACAAGAAAUUGACGUGUUAAUCCCUUGCUGUCCUCAGGGUAGAGUAGCAACGGUAUCGACUACACGAAUUUUCAGAACAUAAUCCCCCAGACCACCUGAGGGACGUGCCCCCACCUACACUGCUACAUACCGAUGUCACCUCGGAUCCGGGUUCAUAUUUCUUACAUCCAUCCUGGCAAAGCCAUAAUACCAUGUGGUUGUACUGGAAGCUACUAAACAGGAAACUAGUCCAGUCUCUGGUUACCCCGGUGACAUUCCUCAGUUGCAACGCAGGCGCUCCCAUAGAAAUGGCGAGACGACUCAUAGAAAUGGACCUAACGUCGCAUACAUCUCCAAUUUCUCAAAGCAGCCCACCCAGGACGGUUCAUUAAAGUUGUUUUUGCCAGGUUUCCAAAAUACUAUAUAGUAACAGUUUCAAGGUAAUUUAUGUUCCCUCCCACGUAUACUAACAUAGCAUAGCAUUCAAGUACUUACGAUGGCAAUUGGUGGAGGGGUAAUGGCAAAGGUAAUCCUAUCACUAGUAGGUCAAGUCAUAGCUAGCAUAGAUACGAAUAAUAUCCCUAUCAAUGCAAACUACACAACAGUAGUGCAUAAAUAUCUAAAAUAAGGAAUGUAAUGGGAAAUUAUGAUCAAAGUGAAACUUGCCUUGAUAGCAGUUGGUAUUCAAACACUCUUCGCAAUCACACAGAUCGCUCUCCGAGAAAACUAAUCAAACACAAACAAUGCAUACAUAAACACACAAUACAAACAAAAAAAUUGGUAUCAAGCCAAUUAAAACACAAGCAUUGGUAAUGCCAUGAUGUAAUGCAAAACAUGUGACAUGAUUUGGUUUAUUUUAUUUGGAUGAUCAACUGAUCCUAAGCAUUGAUAAUUAAAACACAAGCAUUAGGGUUUUAAACAAAAGGCAAAAACAAUUGAUUAAAACCCUAAAUUAUAGUUUUAUUGGCAUCAGCUAAAUAAUUUAAUUCAAAUUUUUUAUUUCUCUCUCCCAAUGGACAGAGGAUAAUAAAACAAAUUUUUGGGCACUGUUUUCAAUUAAAAAGGAUUUAUAAAUAAUUAGUUAUGAAUUAAAUGGCAUUAAACCCUAUUCUGCAAAUUGACUGUGGUUCAAAUAUUCAAAUUUAAAUUUAAACAGUGCCAAAAGAUUCUACAAGGUUUAAAAGUUAUGAUCAUUUGAACUUACAGGGGCUUUUCUGCAAAAGUGCCAUUUAAUUAAACCGGGAGAUUAAAAUUACAUUUUUAUUUUUCUAUUAAGGUGCCACGUGUCGCUAUCUCAUUGGAUGAUACCGGUUCGUUUUAUAAGUAAUAACCCGAUCUAAUCUGAGCCGUUGAUCAAGGAUGGAUGGUCAAGAUCUCACCUCUUUCGUCUCCGGCGAGCUCUAGGGUUCCGGCGACGGCGCGGGCUCGGGCGGCGGCGGCGCGGGGUGUUCCAAUGAAGCAGGCGGCUCGGGGAUGGUUGGGGACAACGCAGCGCAGCACGGCGAAGGCGAUGGCGGUGGUGGCGCUCCUCGAGGACGUCGGCGCACUCGCCUAGUACGACAGAGGCGCUGCGGGCGGCGGCGAAGCUCCGGCUUGACGACGGUGAUGUGCUGCGGUGCGCAAAAAAGAAAGCGGACCGCCGCGUCACGACGUGCGCAAGAGAGAGGCGAACAAGAGAGGGCAAGCGGCUUCGAGGUAGAAUAGCUCACCGAGCUCGUUGGCGGUGACCCAAAAACGCGGCGGCGUCCGUGCGGCUCCAGCGAGGAAUUGGGCGGCGUGGGCGCGAGGAUUCGGGCGAGCAAGAGAGGGAAUAGGAUGCGGGGCGCGCUGGCUUUAUAGAGACGUGGGCGGCUUUCUUCGGGAAGGUCAGAAACAGCGGGGCGGCGAUGGCGCGUCACGGCGCUUUCCUAACGAGGACGAAGCCUGACAGGUGGGCCCCACCUGUCAGUGGCCGCGGGCACGCGCGAGCAGACCGGGCUGGCUCGGUUCGGCUCGGCCGCGGUCGGGACGGGGCCGGUUCGGCCCAUUUGGCCGGGCCGGUCCGGUUUCUUCCUUUUUUUUUUCUUUUUAGCCUUUUCUUUUUCUCUUUUUCUCAUUGCUUUGAUAUCUCUUGAUUUUAAACUCCAAAUUGAUCCAAAUAAAUUCCAGAAAAUUUGUAAAAUCAUGUUUUAUCAUGAUUCAACUUCUGGGAGUAAUUUCCCCUCAAAAUAAAAUAUCUAAAAAUACAUUUGCCCUAUAAAUGCCUUUAGGGCUAUAUAACUAUUUAAAUAAAAUAGUUUUUCAACUCCAAAAAAUUAUCCAAAAAUUAUGGGAUAGCUUAUUUAUGCAAUAAACCCCUUUUAUAAAUAAACCUUAUUGGUUUGAAGAUCCAAAGCUCAAAUGGGUGUAAACCCUAGGUUUAAAAUUGAAAUAAAACAUUUUCAAAGCCUUUUGAGAUUCAAAUUUGAAUUCAAAUAUGCAAUUGUGGCAUGAUGCUUAUGGAUGCAAUGCACAUGUAAAAGUUUGAAAUUUUUGGGAUGUUACACAACAACGGGAGCCCCCUCUAGCAGUCGCACUAAAAUAACGAGCACACCAAGCCGGCUUGGUAGCCCAUGUAGUGUAACUCAGAAGACGCCUGCCGAAGAGUGAGUCUGUUCAAACACAUACCUGCGAGCUCAUCCACGCCUCGACAUGGCUGCUCAGCGAACUCGACUGCGAGAUAUGAGAAUCAAUAAAACCUCCCCCUCAGACUCCAAUCUAGAGCCGGGGACUCAAGAAGCAAGGCGUGGAACGCCACGCAAUCGCGCUGCCAAUGUGCCAGGCUUUUUUGUUUCAUUUCGUUUUACUUUCUCAUCUAUUUUCCCUUCUUUUUCUCUGCAUUUUUAAGUACCUUCUUGUACCAUCGGUAAGUAUUUAUGUUCUUCUACAUACCUUGUUGCGGUCGCAUCAAACUCAGAACUGAGAGAUCGACCCCAAACUUGUCAUUGGACGCACCCGACACUCAAGGGUUGCGUCCAAUCAACCCUAAACCUUUCAUUGGACGCAACCCGACACUCGGGGGCCGCGUCAAAUCGACCCCAAACUUGUCAUGGGACGCACCCGACACUCGGGGGCCGCGUCCAAUCGAUCCUAAACUUGUCAUCGGACGCACCCGACACUCGAGAGCUGCGUCCAAUCGACCCUAAACUUGUCAUUGGACGCACCCGACACUCGGGGGCUGCGUCCAAUCGACCCUAAACUUGUCAUUGGACGCACCCAAUGCUUGAGGGCUGCGUCCACUCGACUCUAAGCCUCUCGUCGUACGCACCCGACAUUCACGGGUUAUUGUGCAACAAACAUCAGCAAAAUCAUUCAACUGUCGGCAGUCUCCAAGUACGCCAAAUUGGGAUCACGAUGUUUUCUCAUACAAGAUCAAAGAAGUUACAGAACAAGAAGGUGUGACCUCUUUCAAAGAUGCUAGCAGCUUUCAGUUACAAAAGAUUUUAAAGUAUUUGGGUCUCCACAUGACUGCAAACCAGUCAUGCAUAGACCCGGGCGCUACUCCCAUCGGGAGCGCUAGUCGCGCACCCGGUAAAAAUACGACUCAGGCAACUACGCCUACAUCCUUAACGGAUAUCAAAGUCUACUAUACUCCAAAGCCAUAAGAGUCACUAGCUGACGUGUCGUGUUCUCCACCAUGUCGUAAACCGGUCCAAGCUGAGCAUCGUCUAUAACAUAGGAUGGAGUCAAAUGCAGUGAGUCCAGAUUUAACGAGGGGUAGCGAAGACGAACAAAUGAGAGGGCUAGAACAGCCCCCUCCACCAAUUGUUCAUGAGUAGCCCCCCUCACCACUGCUCCUUCGCAAAAUCUCUCGAUCAAUCCCUUCAGGUCAACAGGAACAGGAAGCUCCGAAAACAAGUUAUGGUGCACCUCAGUCAAGCAGUGGCUGCAGGACUUCAGGCAGACCACAGCUCUUGCAACUCGAUCUUACAGCAGUGCAAGGGUAUAACCCUUGUUGCAGUUCGACCAAAAGGAUGGGGUCACUGAACCAGAUCGUGCUAAAGCAUCAAGAUGACUUUUUACGCGUUCAGCUUCAACAUACGGUUCUGGCAUUAUAUCUGCAUAAGAUGACGCGUCCGAAUCAGUUGAAAUUCAGUCGACCCAACAAUUUCAAGCAGAGAAAUCAGCCGUUACCUCGCAAAUCAGAGCUCAGCUUCACGAUUUCUCCAAGAAGGAAAUCUUCCCAGCCUGACGCAGCCCGAUUCUCUGACUUGAGCAAGGAGAUCUCCUCCCGUGCUUGCGCAAGUUGGUAUUCAACAUGUCCCAGACGGAUACGCAAAACAUCGAGUGCGUCGGAGGAGUCCAUCUCUUCCCGCGAGACCUAAGUGCUAAUCAGCAGGACAAAUCCCUCGUGCUGGUUAGUACGCUCGAGUCCACACUCGUUUAUUUAUAUCCAACUACGAGGCACUCCCACCGAGAGUACUUGAAAUCCGACUUAAACUCGACUUCCACAAGUCGGAAUACGACUCGGUACUGAUUUGCAAGUCAUAUUGUUCCCUUUCCAAAAAAAAAGAAGGGGAGCAACUUCGCCAAGAAAUUCAAGGAUAUGAAAUUACAACCUUGAGUCCGGUCGCCACUACACACAGUCGCAACCGAACUCGGGGGCUACUUCCACCGGGAGCGCUAACCGCGCACCUGGUAUGGUCUCCUCCUCGGCUGCUUCCCUGCCGGAUCAUCUGCAGCGCCGCCGCCUGCCGAGCCUCCAGGAAUGACUUUAUACCCUGGGUGAGAGUAGCUGGCAGCGUAGCAACUCGUCAGAAAUCCAACUCUGCGCAAUUGACUCACACAAAUGCGAGGGCAAUCUGGGCACCCUUCACCAGUUGGAGUCUAACCAAUUCCUUCAUCUUCUCCUUGCCGUGAAACCUCACCAUUAGGCUGCCCAGUUUAGGAGGCACCUUCUCCCGUGGCCAUAAGGCCCGAUGAGUCCAAGCUAGCAAGUCACAGCAGGCAGUGAAGUACCUUUUGACCUGUUUGAUCCGCUCGAUCAACAGCAUCAAGUCGUAGCUCCUCGACUGAUCCAGCCAAAAGGAUGAUGGGUCAUGAGCUUGACGAGCUUGAAUUGCAGCAUUCACUAUGGCCUUUUCAUCAUCAGGGUCAAAGCGAACAACUGCACAGAAGACGACAAGAUUACUUUGCAAAGCGACACAAAAGGCAAAGUCUUGUGAUCCUAUACCUUGGAUUUGACCGCUCAGGUUACGAAGCUCUCCAAAGACCAACUCUUCCCGGUUGGUCGCACCUUUCAGGCUGGACUUGCUACUUUGAGCGUCACCCAACGUGUCAUGCUUCAACUUAGCGAGCCGAGCCUCAACUUCUUGUAACUGCUCUGGGGACAGAGCAGUCUUAGCCUGACCCUUUCCGCUAGGGUUGGCUGGAGCAUCGUUGCGAGAGGCUGCCUCUGUAGCUGGAACUGAAUGACUUGAUUGUCCUUUUCCCUCUGUGCGAAAAAAGACUCAAGUUACCUCAGCAUUUAUCCUAAAAAAAACUCCUUCAGGGGUGGAAAUAAAGAUCUUGGAUUUCUUUCCAAAAAAGGCUCAGCUAGAGCAGUUCUUUACAAAGCUAAAGAACAAAAGAAGAAGAUUCACAAAGGAGAAAGAGAAUCAAAUAUAUCUAGUGAAAGAUCACCCACCUCUGGGCCGCCAGAUGAAGCUAGGUUUAUCUCAUCGAUUGAUCUACGAGGUUGCCGCAACGAGACCUCAGCCAGCUCUUUUCCUUUUCCCAUAAAGGGACCUAGGCUGACCGUGUUGCCUGCUCUAGAGGCUACUCGACGGAGAAUGUCUUCCUCAACGCCAUACGCAAGAGCAAGCGUGACGAAUAAUUCAGCGUCGGUCGUCGACCGAUGCUCCUCUACUGGGUCUUGACUUGCAGCAAAGAAGUCUGAAAGGGAAACCUUGCCCCUAUAUGGGUUUUGAUGAAUGAUGAAAACAUGGUUGAGAAACUAAUGAGUUACACGGAGUGUUUCAGGUUUUAGUCCCUCAGAAGAAUUGAUUUAACCAGCAUCGACGACCCCGAAAAAUUGAAGUACAGGUACUGGCUUGAAGUAUGAAGAACUCAAUGAAGAACAGUGAAGAAUGUGAAGCGUAGCUUUCUUCAUAGGUCUUUCCGUAGCUUUUCUUCGCUUGAGUAUGAAUGUCGUACUAUUAAGAAGGGUUUGAAGUGUGGAGCUGCUUCAGGUGAAACCUAUUCUUCAUGUUCAGCUUAGGCGAAAACCAUUUUCUGUGUGAGUGUUUCUCGUCGGAGUGAAGAAUGAAGCAUUUCAGGCUUCACAAAAACUUCCGUGUGAAGUCUUCACUCUGAUUUCAAAUGUGUUUGAAAAUCUUUGUCGCUUUACGUUUUGACCACGUAAUCCAACCGUUGUGAGACAAAGAGAUAAAGUGUGAGCUGGAGUCUCAGGGAUCACUUUAUCCAACGGGUCAGAACGGCUAGAUUGGUCGUGGCCAAGGCUAUAUAAGACGAGCCACCACGAACGGGUUCGGUGGUGAUCCCCGUGAGAUGUUUUGAAGAACAUCUGAUUAAAGUCUUAGAGCUGAACUCAGCGUGAAGAAUGGGAUCCCCUCUCUAGCCGAACACUUGAAGCUUGUUAUUCUUGGUGAUUGGCAUCACCUAGAUGGCUAGGAGUCAGUGUUGAAGAGCAACUGAAGCUUGUGAUUCGCCAUCAAUCAGUUUAUGAAGGUCCAGAGAUCCCUCAAGAUCUACCAUGAGUAACUGAGCGAGACUUUGGUCUUAGCUCGGGAGGAUUGGCUGGACUUGUGUGUCCACAAGUCUUGUGUGGCUCAGCCCCCUCAACGGAAACGUAGAAUUGUGCCAACAAUAUGAACUUCGGAAAACAAAUCCCCGUGUCUUUGUGUCCUGGUGAUAUCUGAUAUGCAUCAUAUUUGCACUAUUUUCUGACCAUAAUUAUAUCUGAAAUCUUGUGUUUUGAACUCUAAAUUAUUCUAAAAUGCCAAGAAUUUAUACAAAUACUUGUAAUAUGUGGCAAAAAUUACAUUGUCGCUUCUCUUUUGGAGUGAAGUGUGAAAAGGCACAUACUCUUCUCAUUUUGGACGAGCUGCUGAUGCACCUAUACACCGAAGGACCUGAGCAUAAGGAAAGAAGAAUGAAAGGGCUGAAGUGAAAAAAAAAGACCAACUUGCGAAAGAAGAAGAAAGGAGAAGGGCCUGGAUGUAAAAAUGUCAAAGGGAUUAAAUCCCUAAUUCCUGCUCUCGAUCCCCUUGAGCCUGGCACUUCCCCUUUCCCCUAUCUCCUGCGGCACCACCGGCCGCCGCCGCAGCCAGGCCAGCGUGGCGGCACGCCACCGAGCUAGCUGCAGCCCCUUCCCGAGAUCCACUACUACUCCUCCUCCAUACCGCCUCUGCCGGCAGCGGGCUGCACGAAUCAUCUCCAUCAACACCUGCUGCUCCCCCACGCACCGAAGAAAUCAAGAACCAAGGAACGCGAGCACGACGACCACCUGCAACAUCCUCCCCUUCUCCAAGUGCUGCUGCCCUCUCCUUUGGUUAAAUCCCCACCGAACUCUCUCUCUCUCUCUCCUACUUGUUGCUUGCUGUUUGUGUGUACAAGAACUGAGAAAGAACAUGCUGUUGAUCUUUGGAAAGUUAGCUGAGCCUUGCACUGUGUUAAACUCUCUCUUUAGCUUCUGGCCGAUGUGUGCACUUAAUUAUUGUUCUAUGUUAUAAUCUACUCUGAUAUUUGUGAAUGUGGCUGUGUGUAUACUUGUUGAUGUGUUUCGUGCAAUUUUCUAUCCCUAUCUAAAAACUUGCUUCUUCCCAGUCUUAUAUGUUUGCUGGUGAAAUUACUUUCUGUCAAUAUUGUUCUUUGUCUUUGCUUCUGCCCCUGUCUUUGAUGUAUGCUUGUCUUAGUGUUUUAGAUUCUAAAGUAAAUUGAAAAUACCAAAAAAAUAUUGCAGUCAUUCUGUACCUUGAAUCUCAUAAUUGUUUCUAUCCUUAUCUUGGAUAAUUGCUUGUGAUGUUUCGUGGUAGAUGAUCUUGUCUUGCUUUAUAGUGGGAAAUCUUCUCUUUGUUUGUUUUAAAUGCCAAAAUCCUUUCUUGUGAUCUAGCUUUAACCGAACAUUGUUGUCGCUGCCUAGUGCCUGUGGAGAAUCUCAACAAAAACUACUAUAUUUGCAUUGAUCAAAUUGGCGCCGUUGCCGGGGACUAGCAGCGAGCGAUUGUGUUAGGUUAUAGACUAGGUGUUUUUCCCCUUGUUUAGUAACCCCUAUUCUAGGUGUUUCUCUGUUUUCUAUUUGUUUCUUGUCAUAUUUAACAGGUUAUAUUAUCAUCUUGGUCAUGUCAUACUAUUCAGAUUAUUAUGGAUAUGCGAGCAGUAGCGGCAACAACAUAACAAGUCUUCAAGAUAAGAUAAAUGAGUUGUCUGGUCAGAAGCAAAUGUUAUCAAGUAAAAUAGAACAACACAAUUUGCAGCAAGGAAAUGGUCUUCAGGGAGGCCCUGCUAUUUUGAUCCUUAUUCUGUAGGCCAUCCCCAUACUUAUGUUGCUCCUGAAUGUCAUAUUUGUGGAUAUCAAGGUCAUAUUCCCGUCGAGUGUCAGCUGGGUAAAUCUUUCACCCCAAAUUGUUAUGAUAUGGGUUUUACUCCACAGCAUGAUCUGUACCACAACAAUUACCCCCUAGUGGGCUUGAUAACCCAAAUAUUACAUUUAGGAACAGCAGCCCUGAGGACUCAUCUUUUUCUUCUAGCUAUCCUAUGCAGGGAUUUAGGAAUGAAGAGGCGAAGUCACAAGCUCAGUUAAAUUUUGAAGCAGAACAACAAGCUUGGUUUGAAGAUUUUAUGAAGACGCAGCAAGAGAAGAUGGUUCAUCCACAAUCAGCUAUACUUUCAGAUGUAGAUCAAGAACAUGUGAUUUCAGAAAAUGAAGAAAAAGUUGCUCAGAUUUGGGAAGAAGAGAGAUCCGAGAUUAAAGAAGAUGAUGCACUAGAAGACAAGACACACAAUGAGCAAGAGCUGGACUAUGGAAGUAGCAAAGAUAUAGUGGCUGCCAAUCUUGAAGAUAUUGAAGAUAAAGAGGCUAAUGGAGUGGAAAAUGAAGAUAAUGAGGAGAUUCAAGUCGACAUGUCAAUUAUCAUUCAGGAGUGUGAUGAAACAGGUUUAUCAAACCCAAUUAAUGACAUUCUUCCUUAUGAAUUCCCUGCUACUACCUUGCAUUGCUUGAUACCAUCACUUAAGGUAGAACUGAAUUGUGACUUUCUUAAAUUUGAUGAUGCAUACUUUGUUAGUGACAAUACUGAAAUUCAUGAUGAUGACUCAUGUUAAUCACAUGCUAAAAUUCUGCUUAUGGAUGCAUGCUCUAAGAUUACUCGCGUCUCACAUGUGAAUAUUUAUCAUUCUCACCUUGUGCUUUAUUGCUACGCUUACAUCAUUGGUUUUUCAAUUGAUGACUUAGAGGGUGUUGGUCCUUUGACCUCUCCUAGGUGCUAUUCAUAUGAUAUAACUGAGUUUAAUGUGAUAUAUCAUCAUCGCCAUGUUUUUUAUCGAUAUGUGUAUACCAUUGGAUACUCCAUUGAUAAUUUGGAGGGGGUUGACCCUGUCUCUUUUAGUUCUUGUUGUGAGUGUAUUUCAGGCAUAUCAUAGGUGCUUUGUCAGCUUGGAAAAGUCCAGAUUCGAGUUGACAUUCCUUGGGACCCUGGUGGAUAUGAGGUUUUGAGAUGGUGUAGCAAAGAGAGUUGUAUCACACUUGAAAUAAAAUGCUGAAGCAGAUGGGAUCGAGGGAAUCAAGAAGAGUUGUCGAAUUCAGAAGAUGAGUGGCUUGGUCUGAAGGGAAGGUGUAGUCUGAUAAAAAUAUAGUUCAAAUCAUCUAAAACACCAGGUGACUUGUUUCCAGUAUAUGAGAUCAUGUUUCUUCCAUUGCCUGCAACUUUUCUCAAACUGAUCACUGCUAUUCGUUAUUGGUCACAUCAUUGCUUUCUUGUUGAAGCUGUUCUUCUUUGAGAAUCACAUAACAUUGCUUUAACUUGUUGUUUUCUUACCGAAAAAAAAAGCUGCAUUAAUUUUUUUUGUGAUUGCUAUACUCCAGGAUCUUCAUAAUGAAAAGAUACAUCAACUUUCAGUUUAAACACAACAGCUAUUGGUGCAUGUUCUUAUUGCAGUAAUCUAAAGUAUACUUCAGAUUUGUUUUAUUUUCUGCUCUCAUUCCUAAUAAAUUAAGAUUCUGACAAAUCUGAAUGUCUCCUUAUGCUAGUUAGUCCUGUAUCGACUCAAUUGAUUAGUUGCUAAGUAGUAGCUAUGAUCCCGGGAUCUGUAGCUUGUGAAAACAGUGCUAUUGAUCAUAGGUUUCUUUACAAAAUCUUUUAUCCUGUUGCAAUUUGAGCUUUCAAUAAGUGGCUUGUCCACAAGUCUUUAAAUCUCUGAAUAAGUGGCUCAGCCACAGUGUUAUCCUUGCAAAUAAGUGACUAUGUCACAAUUUGUUUCAAUAAGUGGCAGUCCACAUUGCCUUGCUCUGUUUGAAUAAGUGACUCUGUCACAUCUUUAGUUUGGAAUAAGUGGUGCAAGCACCACAAUUUAUUGCAUUUCUUGUUUCGUUUUUAUUUUUGAAAAACCAUGAACCGUGACUCGUUACUGGACUGCUGUCAUAGUUUGAAUUCAGUUUGCAAAAUCUUCUUUAUUAGUUAGGGGAGCCUAAAAUAGUUUAAAUCUUCAGUAUACUUUGAGUACAAUAAUCAGAACAUACAGCUUUACCUGUUAAGUUUAAACUGAAGUUUCUUGGGUCCUUUUUAUUGUGACGGAAAUCCUAGUUGGAGUGAUUACAUACCUCGUUUCAUGCUGUUGUCUCAUUUGCGAUCUGUUUCCUCAUUUGCAUAUCUCUUUGCUUGAGGACAAGCAAAAGUUUAAGUGUGGGGGUGUGAUAAGCAUCAUAUUUGCACUAUUUUCUGGCCAUAAUUAUAUCUGAAAUCUUGUGUUUUGAACUCUGAAUUAUUCUAAAAUGCCAAGAAUUUAUACAAAUACUUGUAAUAUGUGGCAAAAAUUACAUUGUAGCUUUUCUUUUGCAGUUAAGUGCGAAAAGGCACAUACUCUUCUCAUUUUGGACGAGCUGCUGAUGCACCUAUACACCGAAGGACUUGAGCAUAAGGAAAGAGGAAAGAAAGGGCUGAAGUGAAGAAAAAAAAGACCAACUUGCAAAAGAAGAAGAAAGGAGAAGGGCCUGGAUGUAAAAAUGUCAAAGGGAUUAAACCCUAACUCCUGCUCUCGAUCCCCUUGAGCCUGGCACUUCCCCUUUCCCCUAUCUCCUGCUGCACCACCGGCCGCCGCCGCAGCCAGGCUAGCGUGGCGGUGCACCACCGAGCUAGCUGCAGCCCCUUCCCGAUAUCCACUACUGCUCAUCCUCCAUACCGCCUCUGCCAACAGCGGGCUGCACGAAUCCUCUCCAUCAACACCUGUUGCUCCCCACUCACCGAAGAAAUCAACAGCCAAGGAACGCGAGCACGACGACCACCUGCAACAUCCUCCCCUUCUCCAAGUGCUGCUGCCCUCUCCUUUGGUUAAAUCCCCACCGAACUCUCUCUCUCUCUCUCUCUCUCUCCUACUUGUUGCUUGCUGUUUGUGUGUAUAAGAACUAAGAAAAAACAUGCUGUUGAUCUUUGGAAAGUUAGUUGAGCCUUGCAUUGUGUUAAACUCUCUCUUUAGCUUCUGGCCGAUGUGUGCACUUAAUUAUUGUUCUAUGUUAUAAGACUCGUAACCUGUUUGUUCAUAUGUCAGGGAAGAUCUUUGAGUUGUUCUACUCUAAUAUUUGUGAAUGUGGCUGUGUGUAUACUUGUUGAUGUGUUUCGUGCAAUUUUCUAUCCCUAUCUAAAAACUUGCUUCUUCCCAGUCUUAUAUGUUUGCUAGUGAAAUUACUUUCUGUCAAUAUUGUUCUUUGUCUUUGCUUCUGCCCCUGUCUUUGAUGUAUGCUUGUCUUAGUGUUUUAGAUUCUAAAGUAAAUUGAAAAUACCAAAAAAAAAUAUUGGUGUCAUUCUGUACCUUGAAUCCCAUAAUUGUUUCUAUCCCUAUCUUGGAUCAUUGCUUGUGAUGUUUCGUGGUAGAUGAUCUUGUCUUGCUUUUGAGUGGGAAACCUUCUCUUUGUUUGUUUUAAAUUUCAAAAUCCUUUCUUGUGAUCUAGCUUUAACCGAACAUUGUUGUCGCUGCCUAGUCCCUGUGGAGAACAUCGACAAAAACUACUAUAUUUGCAUUGAUCAAUAUUGU
rnacentral:lncRNA from 1 species